CCAAUAGCGUAUAUUAAAGUUGCUGCAGUUAAAAAGCUCGUAGUUGAAUUUCGGGACCAAUAUGUCGGUCGUUCUUCGGUACGUACUGGCAUCGUCGGUUUCUCCUUUCUGAAGAACCAUGAUGUCAUUAAUUUGGUGUCUUGGGGAAUCAGGACUGUUACUUUGAAAAAAUUAGAGUGUUUAAAGCAGGCUCACGCUUGAAUACAUUAGCAUGGAAUAAUGAAAUAGGACGUUUGAUUCUAUUUUGUUGGUUUCUAGGAUCGACGUAAUGAUUAAUAGGGAUAGUUGGGGGCAUUAGUAUUCAAUUGUCAGAGGUGAAAUUCUUGGAUUUAUUGAAGACUAACUACUGCGAAAGCAUUUGCCAAGGAUGUUUUCAUUAAUCAAGAACGAAAGUUAGGGGAUCGAAGACGAUCAGAUACCGUCGUAGUCUUAACCAUAAACUAUGCCGACUAGGGAUCGGAUGAUGUUAAUUUUUUAAUGACUCAUUCGGCGCCUUACG
rnacentral:rRNA from 1 species